rnacentral:rRNA from 1 species
UGGAUUAGGCAUGCAAGUCGUACGGUGGCGUGAUUGAUAGCAAUAUUAUUUACGUCAUAGUGGCGGAAGGGCGAGUAAUGCCUGACAACCUGCCCUCUUGCUGGGGAUAACGCGGAGAAAUUCGCGCUAAUACCGAAUGUGACUAUGCGAGGCAUCUUGCAGACGUUAAAGGUGGGGAUCGCAAGACCUGCCGCAAGGGGAGGGAUUCAGGUACCAUCAGCUAGUUGGUAGGGUAACGGCCUACCAAGGCGACGACGGUUAGCUGGUCUGAGAGGACGACCAGCCGCACUGGGACUGAGAUACUGCCCAGACUCCUACGGGAGGCUGCAGUCGAGGAUCAUUCGCAAUGGGCGCAAGCCUGACGAUGCGACGCUGCGUGGAGGAUGAAGGGCUUCGGCUCGUAAACUCCUGUCAUGAGGGAAAAAGGUCCUUCCUGUUAAAAGCGGGG